rnacentral:rRNA from 1 species
UAAGAUUAAACCGAAAAUGGUAACUCUGUGAAAGGCUCAUUAUACGACUUGUAAUUUAUUGGAUCUUAUCAUCCUACAUGGAUACCUGUGGUAAUUCUAGAGCUAAUACACGCAAAAAAGCCCUGACCUCACGGGAGGGGCGCAUUUAUUAGAACAAAACCAAUUGGCCUCGGCCAUCUGUUGGUGAAUCUGAAUAACUACGCGGAUCGCAUGGUCUCGUACCGGCGACACAUCCUUCAAGUGCGUCCCUUAUCAACUUUCGAUGGUAGUUUAUGUGACUACCAUGGUUGUAACGGGUAACGGAGAAUUAGGGUUUGACUCCGGAGAGGGAGCCUGAGAAACGGCUACCACAUCCAAGGAAGGCAGCAGGCGCGCAAAUUACCCACUCUCAACGCGAGGAGGUAGUGACGAAAAAUAACAAGACAGUCCUCUAUGAGGUCUGUCAUUGGAAUGGCAACAAGUCAAACAUUUUAUGGAGGAUCUAUUGGAGGGCAAGUCUGGUGCCAGCAGCCGCGGUAAUUCCAGCUCCAAUAGCGUAUACUAUCAAUGUUGCGGUUAAAAAGCUCGUAGUUGGAUCUGCGGCCUUGGAGAUCGGUCCCCCACAGGGUGUGAACUGGUUUUCCAGGCCUACCUUGUCGGUUUUCUAUUGGUGCUCUUAACCGGGUGCCUCUAGUGGCCGACACGUUUACUUUGAAAAAAUUAGAGUGCUCAAAGCAAGCUGACGCUUGAAUACUAGUGCAUGGAAUAAUGGAAUAAGGCCUGUGCUUUAUUUUGUUGGUUUUCGAAGCAGAGGUAAUGAUUAAGAGGAACAGACGGGGGCAUUCGUACUGCUACGUUAGAGGUGAAAUUCUUGGAUCGUAGCAUGACGAACAACUGCGAAAGCAUUUGCCAAGAAUGUUUUCAUUAAUCAAGAACGAUAGUUAGAGGUUCGAAGGCGAUCAGAUACCGCCCUAGUUCUAACCGUAAACGAUGCCAACUAGCGAUCCGCUGGCGUUAAUUAAUGACUCAGCGGGCAGCUGCCCGGAAACGAUAAGUUUUUCGGUUCCGGGGGAAGUAUGGUUGCAAAUCCGAAACUUAAAGGAAUUGACGGAAGGGCACCACCAGGAGUGGAGCCUGCGGCUUAAUUUGACUCAACACGGGGAAACUCACCCGGCCCGGACACUGUUAGGAUUGACAGAUUGAAAGCUCUUUCUUGAUUCAGUGGUUGGUGGUGCAUGGCCGUUCUUAGUUGGUGGAGCGAUUUGUCUGGUUAAUUCCGAUAACGAACGAGACUCUAGCCUACUAAAUAGUGUGUGUGAUCUUCUCGUCCGCACUACUUCUUAGAGGGACAGACGGCGUCUAGCCGUACGAAAUUGAGCAAUAACAGGUCUGUGAUGCCCUUAGAUGUCCGGGGCUGCACGCGCGCUACACUGUAGAAAUCAGCGUGCUUCAAAACCUUCUCUGAAAGGAGUGGGUAACCCAAGGAAACUUCUACGUGCUUGGGAUAGAGAUUUGCAAUUAUCUCUCUUGAACGAGGAAUUCCCAGUAAGUGCGGGUCAUCAGCUCGCGUUGAUUACGUCCCUGCCCUUUGUACACACCGCCCGUCGCUACUACCGACUGGUAGAUUUGGUGAAUGGAUUGGACUGAGGUUUCGUCGGCUUCACGGCCUUCUUUACCACGGGAAAAUUUAUGAGCCUAUUCUACUGGAGGAAGUAAAAGUCGUAACAAGGUUUCCGUAG